rnacentral:rRNA from 1 species
UACGUAGGGGGCAAGCGUUGUCCGGAAUCAUUGGGCGUAAAGGGCGCGUAGGCGGCCACCGCAAGUCGACUGUGAAAUCUCCGGGCUUAACCCGGAGCGGCCAAGUGAUACUGUCGUGCUAGAGUGCGGAAGGGGCUACUGGAAUUCUCGGUGUAGCGGUGAAAUGCGUAGAUAUCGAGAGGAACACCUGCGGCGAAGGCGGGUAGCUGGGCCGACACUGACGCUGAGGCGCGAAAGCCAGGGGAGCGAACGGGG